rnacentral:rRNA from 1 species
GAACGCUGGCGGCGUGCCUAAUACAUGCAAGUCGAACGGCUUUUCUAUGGAAGCUUGCUUCCACUGAGAAGAUAGUGGCGAACGGGUGAGUAACACGUGGGUAACCUGCCCAUAAGAGGGGGAUAACAUCCGGAAACGGGUGCUAAUACCGCAUAGUUUUCUUGAUCGCAUGAUUGAGAAAGGAAAGACGGCCUUUGUGCUGUCGCUUAUGGAUGGACCCGCGGCGUAUUAGUUAGUUGGUGAGGUAAUGGCUCACCAAGACGAUGAUACGUAGCCGACCUGAGAGGGUGAUCGGCCACAUUGGGACUGAGACACGGCCCAAACUCCUACGGGAGGCAGCAGUAGGGAAUCUUCCGCAAUGGACGAAAGUCUGACGGAGCAACGCCGCGUGAGUGAAGAAAAGGUUUUCGGAUCGUAAAACUCUGUUGUCAGAGAAGAACAAGUUGGAGAGUAACUGCUCCAGCCUUGACGGUAUCUGACCAGAAAGCCACGGCUAACUACGUGCCAGCCGCGGC